CCUACGGGAGGCAGCAGUGAGGAAUAUUGGUCAAUGGACGAGAGUCUGAACCAGCCAAGUAGCGUGAAGGAGGACGGCCCUAUGGGUUGUAAACUUCAGUUAUAAGGGAAUAAAAUGUGCCACGUGGGGGAUUUUGUAUGUACAAUAUGAAUAAGGAUCGGAUAACUCCGUGCCAGCAGCCGCGGUAAUACGGAGGGUCCGAGCGUUAGCCGGAGUUAUGGGGUUGAAAGGGAGCGUAGGUGGCUUGUUAAGUCAGUUGUGACAGUUUGCGGCUCAACCGUAAAAUUGCAGUUGAAACUGGCAGUCUUGAGUACAUUAGAGGUGGGCGUAUUUC
rnacentral:rRNA from 1 species